rnacentral:lncRNA from 1 species
UGUUUGGGCAAUCUUGAAAUGGUAUUACUAUCCGUUUAUACAUAUGUAUAGUUUUUUUUUCUUUUGAUUAUACAAUAGCCAGAUAGCCAGCAAUUAAGGUGUUUUUUCAUCUUUGAGAAAUUAGUAGGCAAAUUCUGACUCUCAAAUGCACUGUCUAAACAAAAUCUCUGAUCUCAAUCUGUAUAUAUAUAUAUUGUACAUGACUGCUUGUAGGUAUGAAAUGCACCUCCGAAUUGAAAUCUCAUGCAGCAUACCCAUGUGUUUGCAUAGGAAUGUUACAAUUAUUUCUACUGCAAUUUAACAACAGGGGAUAGGACUCAAGCGGUGUCAUCUAGUCUUUCUGUCUCUUCAUUUCAAAAAGAGCAGUGCUAAGUAAAAUAAUAACAAUAAUAAUAAUAAUGAUUUUUUUAAAAAAAAACCAAAAGACACUACAUUCUAGGGUUAGUACCACACAGCAGUGAUCUGUCAAGCUUACAGAAGCACAAGACAUCACAAAAGUGCAGUGGCGUUUCUAAUGGAGAGAGAAACCACAGACAUUUUAAGGAAGACCUGCUUUAAAUCGGCAACUAUGACCAACUCCAUUUUCUGUAGGUCACCGUGUUUCAGUCUUAUAGCUAACUUCAUGGUCAAAAACAACAACUGAAAACAUCAACACAGACAGGUCUUAUAACAUAUCUAUAUGUGUAUAUGUGUAUAUAGAGAUCCAUGCAAACACACAUGCAUAUGUAUGCAUUCAUAUGUCAGAAACAAAAGGAAUAAACAAAGGGUUAUUUCCUUCAUAUGACUUUUUUUUUUUUAAAUUUGCCAGCCAACAGUCACCAUUCUGAAAUAAAUAAUACAGGGUACUGAACAUCUCUCUCAGCAAAUCAAUGCCUACAGUUCCUAAGAACAUUGCACAGUUUGACUCUACAAUAGUACUGUACCUCAGAAUAUGAGAUGUUAACUAGUGUCUGCAUUGCUUGUCAAAUAUCCAUUUGUUCUUUUAAAGGACACAGAUAACACUAUCCAUUGGUGAUUUAAAAUUG